AACGCACAUUGCGCCCUCUGGCAUUCCGGGGGGCAUGCCCGUUCGAGCGUCAUUACAAACCCAUCAAGCCUGGCUUGGUAUUGGGCGACGGGACCUCCCCGCGCCCCGAUUUCGCCGGCUGGACAACCCCGAUCUUAAGCGCUGUAACGAACCUUCGCGAGAGCGACGGGCGGCCACGCCGUUAAACCUCAAUCAAUCAAGUUGACCUCGGAUCGGGUAGGAAUACCCGCUGAACUUAA
rnacentral:misc_RNA from 1 species